AAACCAGCACCUCAAGUGGUCAGGAGGAUUAUUGGGCCUAAAGCAUCCGUAGCCUGCUUUGUAAGUUUUCGGUUAAAUCCAUAUGCUCAACAUAUGGGCUGCCGGGAAUACUGCAUAGCUAGGGAGUGGGAGAGGUAGACGGUACUCGGUAGGAAGGGGUAAAAUCCUUUGACCUAUCGAUGACCACCUGUGGCGAAGGCGGUCUACCAGAACACGUUCGACGGUGAGGGAUGAAAGCUGGGGGAGCAAACCGAAUUAGAAACCCGGGUAGUCC
rnacentral:rRNA from 1 species